ACCCCCGGGCUGCCGCCUCGGCCAGGCCCGCGGGCUCGGUUCGGUCCGGCCCGGCGCGGCCGGCGGGGAGCCCGGGGGAGCCCGGGAAGGCGGCGGCGGCGGGGCCCGCUCACGUCGGCGGAAACGCGCUCCGCACUGCCCUGUAUAAAUUUGUGCUGGCACUAACAGAUGUUCGAGGUUGAUAUCUUGGUCCUGCCCUGGAAGGCUUUGUGCAGCCUCUUGGUCCCCACCAGCCUCCGGCUUCUAUGGUUCUUGCAGCGGGGAGGGCAGUUCCCUGUUUUGACAGUGCUGGCCAAAGGGAGGGCAAGAACGAGGGCAACCGUCGGCGAGAGUUGGCAAAGCAAAUCCUGCCGGAUCAGGGCCAGCGGGCUGUGAACGCUCAUCGGCUUCCAGGGGAGUUACUUGGUGCAGAUACAAGCAGAAGGACCUUGCUGUUCUUGACACCAGAAGUGUGAUUCCAAUUUACGAUAAGAGUCAGAGAAAGUAUUCCUGGAGAUUGGUUUGGGCAUAAAAAAAGAAAAAGGGUGUGGGGGGAAGAGUUAAUUUCUUUGUCCACCUUCCUUUUUCAGCUGCCUUCC